rnacentral:rRNA from 1 species
GAUGAACGCUGACAGAAUGCUUAACACAUCAGCAAUUGAUUGGUGGCGGACGGGUGAGUAACGCGUAGAGAACUUGCCUCCCAGCUAGGGACAACAUUUGGAAACGAAUGCUAAUACCUAAUACUGUGGGAGAGCUUUGCGUCCCAUUAGCUAGUUGGAGAGGUAACGGCACACCAAGGCGAUGAUGGGUAGCCGGCCUGAGAGGGGGAUCGGCCCCAAGGGUCUUGAGACACGGCCAUUACGCAUACGGGAGGCAGCAGGGGGAGAUAUGGGACAAUGGACCAAAGUGUGAUCCAGCAAUUCUGUGUGUACGAUGAAGUUUUCGGAAUGUAAAGUGCUUUCAGUUUGGAAGCGGUACCAACAGAAGAAGUGACGGCUAACUACGUGCCAGCAGCCGCGGUAAUAC